CGGACGGGUGAGUAACGCGUGGAAAACCUGCCGUAUACUGGGGGAUAACACUUAGAAAUAGGUGCUAAUACCGCAUAAGCGCACAGCUUCGCAUGAAGUGGUGUGAAAAACUCUGGUGGUAUACGAUGGUUCCGCGUCUGAUUAGCUUGUUGGUGGGGUAAUGGCUCACCAAGGCGACGAUCAGUAGCCGGCCUGAGAGAGUGAACGGCCACAUUGGGACUGAGACACGGCCCAAACUCCUACGGGAGGCAGCAG
rnacentral:rRNA from 1 species